UAAUUGCGUCAAAGUCACUAAUUAUCAGUGUUGUGCAAAAACCAACACCACCACAAGGUUCCCAAGAGAGAUCCGACCAAACCCCAGCAAACUCCACCGGAAAACUGCCCUUCACGCGUCAGAUUUAUCAAGGUAGUCCGACUCACGCGCCCCACGCGCCGGCGCGUGAGCACUGUUCCGGUGAGAUUUUGACGAAGGUUCUUCAGGGCAGUUGGAUCGCCCUCAAAUUCCGAGCCUACCCAUAUUUUUACUUUUUAAUUCCGACCACUUUGAAGUUUUCCGGCAUCUACAGUGAUUUAUUCCGGGAUCUACAGUAAUUUUUCGGCAAAAACAGUAUUUCUUUCAUCUGUUUCAGCAAGUUUUCAACUAUGUCUUUGGGACUCGACGCUUUCGGGUCUAGAAACCCGGGUUCGAUGUUAACUACGUAUGUAACAAGCUCGGUACAUAUGAUUUAUAUGCACCAGCUUGAGGGGGAGUGUUAGAAUAUGUAAUAAUUGAACCCUAAUCCAAUGUGUAUUAGGAGUAGCCUAAUCCAAUGUUUAUUAGAAGUAAGUUAGGUUAUGUGUAUUAUAUAUAGGGCUCAUUGUAUCAUAUUUAAUAUCAAGAUAUAUAUUUUUCUCCCGUGCUUUCUCACAGGCACAAAACAAACUACUAAACAGACUGCUACAAUAAAUUUAAAAAAUAAAAUAUUUCCAGUUUAAAAAAAUAUUAUUUGGGGGAUUAAAUCCCAUUAAUUUACACGAAAGUCCGGAAAAUUGUCAAUGUUUUCUUCUAUUUUUUCUUCCGAAACUAGAAAGUUGAUUUCUACUUUUCUUUGAAAAUUUAUGAGUAUUUGCCCCAAAAAAGAAAAAGAGAAAAAAAAAGUAAAUAGAAUUCAACGAACUUUUUAGUUUCCUUUAAUAUAUUAAUUUGAAUGAUAACGCGUAGGACCGAUUAAAGAAAGAAUACCCUCUAUGUCAAAACAUUCAUUCUUAAGAUUAAAAUCCGAAUCCUACAAUUUAAAAUAGAAACAUUAUUUAAGGGUCGUUCGAUGCAUAAGGUAUUUCGUAUAUAUGCAGGUCCAAAAAAGGAUCAAAUCCCAAAAAGUGUGAUAUAAAUAGUUUAUCCCAAUAUAAACAUUAAUAAUAUGUGUCAAUUUGCGCAUAGUUUGUCAUUCAUCAAAACCUACAAAUAUGAACACACGUUUAGUAUAAUGCCUUGAGAACGUGUUUCCAACAGUUCCAACUACUACUAUUGCUGAAUAAUAAAUACAGAAAAUAAAGAACACAAAGAUUUUACGUGGAAAACACCUGGCUCAAAAGGUGAAAAAACCAUGACCUACUACUUAGUAUGAUUUCCCAAACUUCCACUAAAAUCACUAAGCCAAAACACCAUUUACAAAAUCUCUUUGUAAACCUAAGGAUUAACAAUAAUCUCAUUAUAGCAACCAGCCUCUAACUGUUGCGACAACUUCAAGUUAACUCUAACUUGAAUACUCAAAGUACCUUUUACAAUUUCUUCUAUGAAAACUGAAAGGUACAAAUAAAAACACCUACUACAAUUGAACUAGAAAUAAAGAAAGACACAUAAAGCUCUUUAUGGAGCUGGUUUUUCAAUCUGGUUCAUGUAGCUUCAGUUUGCACACUUGGAUCACACACAAACUGCUUGCAAAAAACCUUGCUAUUUUGUUCUCAAUUCACGUUUAACUUCUGCAUUUUUGUGCAACACUUUUAUUGUGAGAACAUCCUGUAAUUAAUAGAGUUAGUAGAUGAAGAAAUAACUAGAGUUCUGAUGCAACUCUUCCUUGGUGGAAGAGUUCUAGUUGAUUUCAACUUCUAACUCCUUCCCUAUCUAGGAUAGUGUUCUUUUUUAUUAAGAACUUCUUCUCCUUAUCAAUUAUGCAACCUUUUUAAUCAGGAGAUAUUUAAUAUACCAAGUUAAGCUUAUCUCCUUCACGUGCAACCCACAUGCUCGAAUCUGCCCGUUUUUUGCACCUGAGUGAUGGACUUAGUUCAUCAUGAGUUCCUUUUACAGGAAAUGUGCAAACUUGUAAAAGAGAACAAACUUAGCUAUUUAUUAGUAAUCAGAGUUUGAUUGAAACUCAAUUGCUGAUCCUCCAUCGAAUUUGAGUCCUAGACCAAUACAAACUCCAACCAUUAUCCUUGAUCAUGAUUGUGUUCUCUUCUCAUUAGGAGACUUCAACUUUCUUCUCCCAUAUGCAAUCUUUUCGAUCAGUUCAGAAGAUAUUGCUGCUCGAUCCCAAAGGCGUAUCUUUUUCACGUGCAUCUCAUGUGCAUAGGCCAUAACAACUGUGUCUCCUAAGAUGGACCCAGUCCUUCACUGAGUUCACUUGUCAUUCUUCAAAACUUCAACUGAGCUUGGGCCAAAAAAUUCUCCCUUUUUGAUGAUGACAAACUCUGUGCUUUUACUGAUCAGAGAACCUAUGGAACUCAGCUAAACAUCAACACAAUGUUAGAAACAUUUUUCCUUUUUAUCAUUUAUCAUCAAGGACCAGGUACAUUCGGUUAUAAACAUCAUUGUUCAAAGUGUAUACAUCACAUGUUCAAAGCACAACCUUUUUCCUUCUUUUGGCAUCACCAAAAAGUUGCCUAACUAUAAACAUCAUUGUUCAAAGUGUAAACAUCACUUGUUUAAAGCACAACCUUUUCCCCCUUUUGGCAUCAUCGAAAAGUUGCAUAAACAUUAUUAGAUAACCAGAUUUUAAAACUUACUCAUGGCCACUGGGGCUUCUUCAAAUGAAAUAAUGGAUUAAUCAUCAUAGAUCAUGCUAAGAAUUUUAACCAUCAAUAAAUAUAAACAAACAGUUAGAGCAAAAAUAGUGAGUUUCAUUGAUGAUUGAUAAGAUUCUACCACAAAGCAUAAGAAGAAAUAAAUAUAUUGAAAACAUGAGCAAAAGAAACAAAACGUCCUGAAUUGGGUCAAUGGUUGAUCUACAUCAGGUCAGGAGUCUUAAGGCAUGGAAGAGGUAGGGUUGAGUUAUUUUCUUGGAGAAGUUUCAGCAUGUCUUGAAAAAUGCCAUCAUUCUUCUCCUUUUCCCUUGCAAGUUCAAUUUUGAGAACAUCUCUCUUAGAUUCUACCUCAACCAAUAGUGUUUUCAGCCUUGUUAUAUCAAUAUCCUUUGCCUUACUCUCAUGUACCAAGAUUGUGACUUUGCUAUUGAUAGGAGUCUUCUUGGAUGAACCAGGUUCAUUAAGCAUGACAUUGACUUCAUAAUCGCAAGCAAGAAGAGUAUUAACCCCAAAAUGAUCCUUUCUUGUACUAACCUCCCACUUCUUCAUAGGUACCUUGAAAUGUACAAGAACAGUUAUGAGAAUGAAAUCAUAGGGAAUGGCAUGAGUUUUGGUGCAAUUGAUAACCCUAUCAGUAAGUCCGCGAGGGAAUCAUGUUCAGAUGGAACGGGUUCAUUUAUAAUUUUUCAAGUUGAACCAAACCUACUUCCCCCUAUUUUACUCACAUUUUAUUCUAUUUUACUAACUUCCUCUCACCAAACAACCAAUGCACAUGCGUCUUUUGGUUAAACUCACAGGAGUGGGUGAAGAAUUAGCCGCUUUUGUACCCUUUUCCCUCAUAGUACUCCUAGCACCUUUGCUCUCUUUUUCUUUUCCUUUUUAUUUUUACCACCAACUUCUCCAGAUUUUUUAGUCUCAAAACCUUCUAUAGAUCCUACCAGUACAAAUUUGUAGCAACUUCAGAAAUUGUCUCAGCUGUAACUUUAGAAACAGAAGAUAAGUGUUUAGUUUCGGAAUACCUACUGUCUUCCCCCUUUGUAGAGGACUUACAUGAAUCUUCAUAUUUCUGGAAUUUUUCUUCCCCACUUGCUUUCAAUUUUUUGUUUAUUUUCUUGGUCUUCUCUCCUUCAGCGACAAUCUUACGAGCCAUCAUCUUUACUCUACUUUUCUUAGAGAUUAGUGUUGUAGAAGGUGUGGAAGUGGUUUUCUAUGGUGGUGAUGAAGGAUUUCCAAAAGUGUAUAACAUAUUUGGGCUAGGGUAUGGAAGAGAAAAAAUUGGAUUGUGUUUGGAAUAUAAAAGAAGAAUGAGAGUUUCUUUUGACGGCUCGAGAGAGGUGAGGUAAGGAAUACACUAAAGCUGACCAAUAUACAAGGGAAUACUUGAUGGGAUAACUGUAGCUUUUCAAAUACUUAGAAGUAUAAUCAAACUAAAAUUUAGUGUUGGAGUGUUUCCCUAGAAUCUAAGUACUUCCAUUCGAUUGAGACUCUUUUAAAUUGGACUGGUUCACUUGUAAGGGAUAAGUCCAAAAAGAGUUUGGUAUUUUGUAGCUACUCUGUUCAUGAUCCAGAUACAAUUAUUUCAAAUUAUACAGAGUGUAGAAAACAUACCGUGUUAUCUUGAUGAAUUAGGUUCUUCGUUAAUAAUUCUCUUGUGUAAGUCUAAAUUUUCCUAAAUAGAUAAAUAUCAUUAUAGAUUAAUGAAUCAUUUUAACACAUGGCACAAGAGUAUACUAUAGAAAGUAUGAGACCGAGCAAGAUUUAUUCUGACUAUACACAAUUUACAGACUUUCUAACCAAAUAUAUAUAUAUUUUUUUCAUUUAACCUUGAACUUUUAGGUGAUCUUAAUCAUCCCUAAUUCCAACAUGUUCCUCUCAAAGUGAUCUGUACUUAAGCUUUUGUGAAGAUAUAAACAAAUUGCUUGUCAGUGGUAGAAAACUCCACAGUGAUCAAGCCUUUCUUAUAGUUGUCUCUCAGAUAAUGGUGUCUAAUAUCUAUGUGUUUAGUUCUCUUAUAAUGAACCAGAUUCUUAGUCAUACUAAUAGCACUAGUGUUAUCACAAAAAUAGGGAUGCAACUGACUUCAAUACCAAAAUCCAUCAAGUGUUGCUUGAUCCACAACAAUUGAGCACAAUCAUGAAGCAACAACAACAUAUUCAGCUUCAGCUGUAGAUAGGACCACUGAAUUUUGCUUUUUAAUAUCCUAUGACACAAGACAUGAACCAAAGAAAUGUUCCAUACCCGAGGUGCUCUUCCUAUCCAUUAGGAAACUUGCAUAAUUAGCUUCAGCAUAUCCCAUUAGGUUAAAGUUACUAACUUUUAGAUAUCUAAGGUAAAGGUCAGUGGUGCCUUUCAAGUAUCUCAAUAUUCUCUUUACAUUAGGUAAGUGGGCUCCUUUGGAUUUGCCUGAAAUCGAGCAUAAAGACCUACACUACACACAAUGUCAGGUCUGCUAGUAGUGAGAUAUAAAAGAGAACCAAUCAUUCCCCUAUACAACUUCUAAUCAACAGUGAACCAGGUUCAUCUAUAUCCAAUUUCGUGGGUAUUGCAAUAGGAGUAUCAAUUUCUUUGGAUGUUCCUUCCUGGUUUAGUUAUUGAGGAAUAGGUUUAUGGACAGGUUCCCUCGAGGUUUGGGGAUCAGUUAUUCUCUAGUCAAUUCCCCAUGUCAUGUUGCCCUCGGUGGAAGAACCUGUUCCAUCACCUAUUCCUUCUUCUGGUGCAGCUUCAUCGAGGCUGUGACUUCAUUUAAUCCUUUUACCAGCCCAAUAGUUUCAUCUUCAAGUUCCUGUCUCUCAGAAAGAAUGUUAGUUUCAUCAAAACUACAUGUAUACUUUCUUCUAAACACAUAGUUCUUUUGUUGUACACUUAAUAUGCUUUUCUAUGUGAAGAAUAUCCCAAGAAUACUCCCUCAUCACUUCUGGAAUCAAACUUUACAUAAGGAGUCUUUGCCAUUAUUGUGCAUAAAGUACUUCCAUCUAAAUGCCCUAAGAUGGAAUAUAUUUAGUUUCUCCCUUUAAGUGACUCAUAGGGAAUCUUCUUAAUGAGAGGUCUAGUCAUGCAAGUACUUGCAUCUAAAUGCCCUAAGAUGGGAUAUAUUUAGUUUAUCCCUUUAAGUUACUCAUGGGCAAUCUUCUUAACAAGAGGUAUAAUAAGGCAAAUAUGAUGUAGCACGCAAGAAUUCAACAAACUUAGCAUUUUGAAAUUCAGUUCCAUGAUCAGACCUAAUUGAUGCAAGUUGAUUACCUAGUUAUUUCUGAUUUUAUUUUUAUUUUAUUUUAACAUAAGAAGCAAACAUGUCAAAUGCUUCAACUUAUGAUAUUAAAAAUAAUGUCCAAGUAAACCUAGAGUAAUCAUCAACAAGCACCAUCACAUAUCUUUUACCACCUCUGCUUAAUAUUCUCAUUGGUCCACAGAUAUCCAUAUGGACCAGUUCUAUCAUUUGGCUUUUAAGAUCACACACUCUCUAGACAGCUCUUCCUUCUCAUUGUUAGUUAUAUCAGACUCAUUGAUGAAGUCCAGCAGUAGUUCAGACAACCUUUCUUUAAACAGAAAUUUAAUCUUGUCUUUGAGUCAAAGGAUCUAACUUGCUUCCCCCUUGCACAAGUCUCACAAAUUUUAUCUUCCUUGAACUUAAUGUUAGGCUGUCCUAUCACCUUAGAGACUAGUUUGUUGAGUUGACUUAGACUGGUAUGUCCAAGUCUCUUGUGCCAAAGGAGGGGAUCAUUGUCCAACACACUUACGCAAGUGAGUGCAUUUUCUGAAAGUGUGGACAAAUCUACAAUGUAUAUAUUAUUUACUCUUUUUCCCUACAAAACAAUCUUGUUAGUGGUAAGAUUAGUCACAGAACAUUUUUUAGAGAGGAAUGCUACCAAGUUACCUCUAUCACACCAUUGUGAUUGUCUUAUUAGGCACUAUUUUAGGCCAUCUAUCAGGUAGACAUUCUCAAUAGUGUGAGAAUCAACCGUACCUACCUUUCAAACCCCAAUGAUCUCACCUUGCUUCCCAUUUCCAAAGGAGACAUCACCUCCUUUGAGGUCCUCAAGUGAAAAGAACCGGUUCUUACUUCCUGUCAUAUGCUUUGAGCAUCCACUACCCAUGUACCAUAUUUGGCUGCUCCACUUCACUUGGACCCACAAAAGGAAAUUAGGGGUUAGUCUUAGGAACUCAAACUAGUUUGGGUCCCGUUCUAUUGGAAAAGGGGUGAAUCAGAUUCUUUUUAGCCCAACCGGGCAGCCUAUUUUUCCCUUGAACAAAUUCUUUAUUCUUUCGACUAACCUUUUCUUUUCUAAUAUAUUCGGAUUUAUAGUGACCAGUUUUACCACAGUGUGUACGAUUUAUGUUCUCAAAAAGUGUGAGGUACUUUCUUUUGGGAUCCCACUUAGGUGUAGGGGUCUCGUAGUCAAGUCAUCUCUUAUUGCUACUAUGGUGUUCAUGUAGCCAUUAAUGUGCCAGAGGACCUAUUCCAUUUACAGGUUCUGUCUAGCUCGUGCUUAACCUUGUAUAGAUCCUCCUUAAGGACUCUUAUUUGCUCAUCCUUUUCGUAAAACUCAUCUUUCAUUUUUCCAACAUUCUCUUCUAAAGUUAGUUGUGUGUGAUCAGCUUUCUUUUUACCAAUUCCUAAUUUCAAUUUUAAAUUUUGAGAUCUAAGCUCUAGGACAGUGGUGUCAAGUUCAUGAACCUGGUUCUCCAACUCAGCAUUUUUGUUAUCACUCAUUUUCCCUAGACUCUAGACCUUUACAUUUUGCUUUUAGAAUCACACAUUCCCUAGACAGAACUUCCUUCUCAUUGUAUAGAUCCUCAUAUUCAUCAAUGAAUUCCAGGAGUAACUCAGAUAGCCUUUCUUUAAUCUUGUCUUUGAGAUGAUUUAUACUUACCUCGGAAUCCUCAUCGGAUUCUCCAAUUGCCAUAAGUGCUUCUUCAUCUCCAUCUUCUCCUCUGAAUCCUCAUCUGAGCUUUCUCCCCAAGCAGCAACCAUAACCUUUGUUGAUCCUUUGUUCUUCUUGAGUUGAACCUAUUGCUUUUUCUUAUUGCUUCGUUCAGCUCUAUCCUUCUUCCAUUCAAUUUCCCGUUGAGGGCAGUUUCUAAUGUGGUGAUCAGUCUUCCCACACUUGUAACACCCCUCAUUGGUUUUCUUUUCAGGAACCCUUGGUUUGCUGUAGCUUCCACUUCUUGAAGGACCAUUUCCUCUCAUUGAGUACUUCUUGAAUUCCUUUGUGAUCAUGGUCAUUUCAUCCUCCUCUAUAUCAGCACCUUUAGUGAUUCUAAAUGCCAUGCACCUUUCCUUCUUGGGUGCAUCCUUCUUCAUGGUUUGCCUUCUAAGUUCAUAGGUUGUGAGAUUUCCAAUUAGCUCGUCCAACUUAAGAGUGGCAAUAUUCUUUGAUUCCUGAAUGGCAGUGAUUUAGCUUUCCCAAGUGACUCGUAAAACCCUUGUCAAAAUUUUCUCAACUUUGUCCUCUUCAAGAAUAACCCUUCCAAGAGACUUAUUUCGCAAGAUUCUACAGAACCCUUGUCAAAAUCUUCUCAACUUUGUCUUCUUCAAGAAUAACCCUUCCAAGAGGCUUAAGUUCAUUUGUCAAUGUGGUGAACCUUGUAUACAUCUUCUGGAUGGUUUCCUCUUCCUCCAUGGUGAAAUUGUCAUAUUGAGAAUAUAGCAAUGUUCCUUUUGAUCUCUUUACUUGAGGAGUUCCUUCAUGAGCCGCUUGUAAAGUGUCCCAUAUUUCCUUGGCAGUGGUGCAGCUUUGAAUUCUACUAUACCGUUUGGACCAAGUCCACACACAAGACAUUUUUGGCCUUAGCAUUCUUAUCCCAUAUCUCAAGUCCUCAGCAUUGAAGUCAGCUCUUGUUUUUGGCACAUCUACUCCUUCAGUAUUCUUCUUCAUGGUAGCUAGGGGAUCAUAAGUGACAAUGUCCCAUAGCUCAUAGUCUUCUCCGAUGAUGUGAUCUCUCUUUCUAUUUUUCCACCAAGAAUAGUAGUGGCUAUUAAAGAGUGGAGGCCUAUCAGUGGAUUUCCCUUCCCAGUUUCCAGAUGGUGCGCUCAUCUUGAUAUGUUCCUAAGGUGUUAGCCUCUUCAAGGAUAACUUGCUCAAUACCAAUUGAUGUUUUAUACGUCAAUAAAACACAAUAGGGGGUGAUUUGUAUGAUACCCAAUUUUUGCUUAAACUGCUUAUGAAGGACCUGGUUCUUCUAUGUGUUCUAAAUACUACUGUUGCGGAAUAAUAAAUAUAGAAAAUAAAGAACAUAGAUGCUUUACGUGGAAAACACCUGGCUCAAAGGUGAAAAAAUAACAACCUACUACUCAGUAGGAUUUUCCCAAACUUCCACUAAAAUCACUGAGCAAAAACAGCAUUUACAAAAACUCUUUGUAAACCGAAUGAUUAACUCUAAUCUCGUUGUGGCAACCAGCCUCUAACUGUUGCGAAAACUUCAAGUUAUCUCAAACUUGAAUACUCAAAGUACCUAUUACAAUUGAUUCUAUGAAAGCUCAAAUGUACAAAUAAAAACACCUACUUCAAUUGAACUAGAAAUAAAGAAAGACAUAUAAAGCUCUGUAUGGAGCUGGUUCUUCUAUCUGGUUCAUGUAGCUUCAGGUUUGCAUACUUGGAUCACACACAAACUACUUGCAAAAAGCCUUGCUAUUUUGCUCUCAAUUCACAUUUAACUUCUGUGUUUUUGUACAACACUUUUAUUGUGAGAACAUCCUGCAUUUUAUAGAGUUAAUAGAUGAAGAAAUAACUAGAGUUCUGAUGCAACUCUUCUUUGGUGGAAGAGUUCUAGUUGAUUUCAACUUCUAACUUCUUCCCUAUCUAGGGUAGUGUUCUCUUUGAUUAAGAAAUUCUUCUCCUUAUCAAUUAUGCAACCUUUUCGAUCAAGAGAUAUUAAAUACACCAAGUUAAGCUUAUCUCCUUCAUGUGCAACCCACAUGCUCGAAUCUGCCGGUUUUUGUGCACCUGAGUGAUGGACCUGGUUCAUCCUAAGUUCCUUUUACAGGAAAUGUGCGUACCUGUAAAAGAGAAUAAACCAGCUAUUUAUCAGUAAUCAGAGUUUGAUUGAGACUCAACUGCUUAUCAGUCAUCGAAUUUGAGUCCUAGACCAAUACAAACUCCAAUCCUUAUCCUUGAUCCAGAUUGUGUUCUCUUCUUAUAAGGAGACUUCAACUCUUUAUGCCAUAUGCAAUCUUUUUUAUCAGUUUAGAAGAUAUUCAGAAGAUAUUGCUGCUCAAUCCCAAAGGCUUAUCUUCUUCACGUGCAUCUGAUGUGCAUAGGCCUUAACAAUUGUGUCUCCUAAGAUGGACCUAGUCCUUUACUGAGUUCAUUUUUCAUUCUUCAAAACUUCAACUGAUCUUAGGCCAACAAGAUAUAUCAUCAAUUGUGAAUUACAAAGUUCGGGGAAAUUGCUUCCAUGAAUUUAGUAAGUUCGACAAACGUCAUUGACAAGUUAAUUCCAUAUGGUUCGACUCUGGGAAAAAAUACUUAGAAUAUAUUUGCUAUGUCCGUGCGUGUCUUUUAUAAGGCAUAGUUUGGCGUUAUCAAAUUUUGGCGCCGUUGCAGGGCAAUUAACGGUGUUAUUAAUUACAAUUGAAAGAAGAACAAAAAUUCUUAGUGUAGUAAAGUUUUCUCUCUACCCAAUCUAUUCAUUGAAAUUCUAACAUUUGAACUAUUAUGGAAAUUAGGUGUAUGCCUAUAAGUUCUUUGAGGACUUGAGAAUUGCUAGAAGGACUCUCAGACCCCGAGAAAACAUUCAGGGCAUUGGACCGUGCCAACAAGAGACUUCAACAAUCCCAACAAUCACACCUGGUCGAAGUUGACAUGGGUGACGCUAACAACGUCAUUGGAAACGUUGGGGAUCCACCAGCAAACCCCAACGUGGGAGUAGUGGCAUCUCUUGUGCACGAAGCUGCACUUUAUGAUCGGGCAUAACCCACAACUGAUAACCCGGCCACUGCCAUAGUUGUGCCCGCAAUCCAAGCGUAGACUUUCCAGAUAACCAACAAUAUGCUUCAGAAUAAAGGAUUUUUUUCCGGGUCCCACAUUGAAGACCCUCAGCAACACUUGAAAAAAUUUCUAUCAAUAUGUAUGACCCAAACGCAAUAUAAUAUGACCACGGAAGCUGUCAAGUUGUCAAUGUUCCCAUUCUCUGUGACCGGGGAAGCUCAGACUUGGCUAAAUUCGCUCUCUAUCAAUUCCAUAGCUACCUGGGAGGAAUUAGUCAAGCAGUUCCUGAAUAAGUUCAAUCCGUCCAACAAGACUGCACGCCAGAUUGAUGAAAUAUUUCAGUAUAAGCAGCAACCGACUAAGUAUUUGCAAGAAAUAUGGGACAUAUUAUAGGGAUGCAAGUGAAGUGCCCUCACCAUGGAAUUCCAUACCAAAUCCUUGGCCAGAGAUUCUACAUAGGGUUAGCAUCUAAAGGCAAAUGUGGAUGCUUCAGCUGGAGGUGCAUUUUUUAGUAAGACAUUCACCGAGCGCAAAAUCCUUCUUGACAAGAUGUCACAAAAAUUAGGGUGGAUGAGUAGAGCCACAAAACUGGCACCCAUAGUGCAUUCAAUUCCUCUAGACCCAAAUAAUUCAUAUGCAGAGAAUAUGGCCGCAAUCAUGACCCAUAUGAGCAUAUUGACAAAAAUGAUUGAUGAGAUAGGUACAAAAUAGGUGCACGUUAUUGAUACAACAAAUGGAGGACUGUGUACACCUUGUAUUAAUCAGUCUUAUGUAUGUUCAUGGAGCGCAGAAGGCAAAAUCAAGGGACGAGGAAAGAUAUGAAUUAUGUCAACAACUAUGGGGGUCAAAGACAAGGAGCACAUCAAUGGAGACUGCCACAAAAUCAGAGUAUAGGCCUAACAUGUAACAGCCUGGGGGUAUGCACUCUCAAAACCAAUUGGUACCAGUACCAUAUCAGAAACCGCAGGACUAUCCAUAGCAAAAUCAGUAGCAAUUAACAUAUCAACCACCUCCUCAGCAAGAUAACAACAUGAUAGAAAUCAGAGGAAUGCUUCAGCAACUCAUUGGGACAAAUAAUAAAGUGCAGGAAAAGUUGGUUGUGCAUGAUUCAGCCAUAAAACAUUGAAACACAGCUGGGAUAGCUGUCCAUGGCCCUAAAAAACCUCCCAUAGGGAACUUUUCCAAUAGACACAAACAUAAACCCUAUGGAGCAAAACCCAAAUCAGCUAAUGGCAGUAAGCCUCAGGAAUGAGGGAGAUUUAGACAACGAACAGGAGAUUAUACAAGCCAGUAAAGAGAAUACGACAGUCACCCCAGUGCCAUUAGAGGUGGAGGAACCAACAGAGCUUACUAAAGUAGUGGUUAAGCAGAGUUAGGAGGAAACAAGAAAAGAAGAGACGAAUGAGCAAGCUGCAGAACAGGUGGCACCUCUUGUGCCAGAAAAUUCCAACAGAGAGAAGCCAACAAUCAAUGCACAAAGGGUGAUACCUGCACCCUUCAGAGACUGGUAAAAUAAAAGAAGACAGACCAAUUCAAGAAGUUCAUGGAGAUGUUGCGUUAUAUUCAGCUGAUUAUUCCACUGAUGGAUGCUCUUAGGGAGAUGCCCGGUUAUGCCAAGAUGAUGAAGGAUUUAAUGUCACGGAAGAUUGAUUUUCUGGACCUAUCCACUAUGACUCUGACACAGACCUACAUCGCAGUAGUAACAAGACUGAUGGCGCAAAAGAUUUCAGAUCCAGGUGGCUUCACUAUUCCAUGCACAAUUGGGAGAUAAGCUUUUUCAAAGGUAUCAUGUGAUUUGGGAGCCAGCAUAAAUCCGAUGCCGCUGGCAGUGUACACCAAGCUGGGCAUUGGCAGAGCUAAAAAGACUUCGAUGCUGCUAUAGCUGGCCGAUCGCACGAUGAAAAGGACAACUGGUAUUCUUGAUGAUGUGUUGGUGCAAGUGGGGAAGUUCGUGUUCCUAAACGACUUUGUUAUUCUGGAUUGUCAGGUAGAUGAGGAGAUACCUCUCAUUUUGGGUAGACCAUUUUUGGCCACUGGAAGAGCAUUGAUUUAUUGUGAGACUGGGGAUUAAAAUGAGACUAAAUGAUGAAGAAGUCAUAUUCAAUGUUAAACAAUCUAUGAGGAGACCUAGAUAAUAUGCUAAUUGCUCUCUAGUGGAGGCAGUAGAUGUGAUCCUCCAAGAAGAUGGUAUGACCUUGAUUGUUAAAGAUCCAUUAGAGGCAUGUCUGACAGAUUUAAAAGAGAUGGAUGGUGAAGGGUUAGAUGAAUGGGUCAUGGCACUUGAAGGCCAAGGAUUCUGGAAAAGGGAACAUCAGUUCGAGUCCCUUGAGUUAGGAAAAAAGGCUACACCUCCAGCAAAGUCAUCGAUAGAGGAACCACCUAAGCUGGAGCUGAAGCCACUCCCAAAGCACCUCAGGUAUGUUUUCUUAGGCCAUAAUUCUACCUUUCCAGUUAUUUUAUCAUCCGAUUUGCUAGAUGUGUAGGGUAGAACAACUUUUACAGGUAUUGCAGGAAAGCAAGACUGCCAUCGGCUAGACCAUGGUAGACAUUAAGGGUAUCAGUCCGGCUUUCUGUAUGCAUAGAAUUCUCUUGGAAUAAGAGAAAAAACCUUCCAAAGAAAAUCAAUGAAGGCUAAACCCGAACAUGAAAGAAGUAGUGAAGAAGGAAGUGAUCAAAUGGUUAGAUGUGGGAAUCAUCUUCCCCAUCUCUGAUAGCAACUGGGUCAGCCCUAUCCAAUGUGUGCCUAAAAAGAGGGGAAUGACUGUUGUGCAAAAUGAGAACAAUGAGUUGAUCUCAACUCGUACAGUCACGGAAUGGCAAAUUUGCAUGGAUUACAAAAAUUGAACAUAGCCACCCGGAAGGACGAUUUCCCCUUGCCCUUUAUUGACCAAAUGUUGGACAGGCUGGCCGAGAGAUCAUACUUUUGUUUCUUGGAUGGAUAUUCCAGGUACAAUAAGAUAUCAAUAGCCCCGAGGAUAGAGAGAAAACACCCUUCACCUGUCCAUAUGGCAUCUUUUCCAUCCGGAGAAUGCCUCUUGGGCUUUGCAAUGCCCCAACGACAUUUCAACGGUGCAUGUUAGCUAUCUUCAUAGAUAUGGUGGAGGAUAUUAUGGAAGUUUUAUGGAUGAUUUCUCCGUGGUGGGAGAUUCAUUCGAAGACACUCUUCACAACUUAAGGAGAGUGCAUAAAAGAUGUUUGGAGACAAAUUUAGUGCUGAAUUUGGAGUAGUGCCAUUUUAUGGUACGGGAAGGGAUAGUCUUGGGGAAUCGAGUGUCCAUUAAAGAAAUUGAGGUCGACCAUGCUAAGGUUGACAUGAUUGAGAAGCCACCACUGUCCACUUCAGUCUAGACGGUGAGAAGUUUUCUUGGACACCCGGGUUCUAUCGGUGUUUCAUAAAAGAUUUUUCUGAAAUUCCUAACCCAUUAUGCAAACUCCUUGAAAAGGAUCAGCCCUUUGUGUUUUCUAAUAAUUGCAGGUUGGCAUUUGAGAAAUUGAAGAAGAGGUUGGUAACUGCACCCAUCAUUGUUGCACCCAAUUGGGAGAAACCAUUUGAGCUCAUGUGUGAUGCAAGCAACUAUGCCAUAGGAGCAGUCUUGGGGCAGUGAAAGGAUAAUCUAAUGCACUCGAUUUACUAUGCAAGCAGAAUGCUACGCGUUGCACAAAUCAACUACAUUGUGGAAGAGAAGUAGAUGUUAGCGGUGGUGUUCGCAUUUGACAAGUUCCGAUCAUAUUUGAUUGGCUCCAAGGUAAUUGUAUACACUGACCAUGCAGCUCUCAGGCACUUGAUUGAGAAGAAGGAGUCUAAUAAGCGCUUGAUUCGUUGGGUGCUGUUGUUACAAGAGUUUGACCUUGAAAUUCGUGACCGUAAGAGCACAGAAAAUCAAGUCGCUGAUCAUCUAUCACGACUUGAACUGAAAAAUUAGGCGAGUUUGAACAGAUUCUGGAAACCUUUCCAGAUGAGAAACUGCUUGCAGCUAGUCUUGAGGAAGCGCCAUGGUAUUCUGACCUUGAAAACUACCUGGCAUGCGAUAAAGUUCCCUACGACCUUACAUAUUUCCAAAAGAAAACGUUUUAUCGCGAUCUUAUUUGCUUAGAAUAUUUGCUGAUAAUAUUAUCUGGAGGUGUGUCCCCAAGAUAGACUAAUUUUUGGUUUUGCAGGCUUGUAACGCAUCAGUAUACGGAGGACAUUUUAGAGGGGUAAGGACAGUUGCAAAGUGCUAGAGGCUGGAUUCUUUUGGCCAACUAUGUAUGCAGAUGCGCACCUCUGGGUAAAGGGCUGCAAUGAAUGCCAGCGGUCCGAGAACAUUUCCCGCUGCUAUGAGAUUCCAAUGAACCCGAUUCAGGAGGUAGAGGUGUUUGAUGUUUGGAGGAUUUACUUUAUGGGUCCGUUUUUCAGCUCAUUUGUUGUUGUGGACUACGUGUCUAAAUGGGUAGAGGCUGUAGCGUUGCCCACUAAUGAUGCAAGAGUGGUGGUAGGAUUUCCGAAAAAGAACAUAUUCACCCGGUUUGGAACACCAAGAGCGAUCAUCAGUGACAGAGACACUCAAUUUUGUAAUAGAGACUUCGAGAAAUUGCUUGCAAAAUAUGAUGCACGCCACAAGGUGGCUACCCCUUACCAUCCACAAACUAGUGGGCGGGUUGAAGUGCCUAAUAGGGAGAUAAAGAGUUUACUAACCAAGACUGUAAAUGCCACAUGAACUGAUUGGGCAAAGAAGCUUGAUGACACACUCUAGGCCUAUAGAGCUGCAUUCAAAACACAUAUAGGUAUGUCACCAUACAAGAUGGUAUUUGGGAAGGCAUGUCAUCUUCAUGUGGAGCUAGAACAUUGAUCUUCAUGGGCACUAAAGUAAUUGAACAUGGAUCCUGAUGCAGCUGGACAAAAUCGACUGACAGAUUUUCAUGAGCUAGAAGAACUUAGAUAUUAAGCCUUUGAAAGCAUGAGGCUAUACAAGGAAAGAAUGAAGAAGGUGCAUGACAAACACAUCGUGGACAGGAAUUUCAAACCCGGUGACAAGGUAUUACUGUAUAAUUCAAGGUUUAGAUUUUUUCCGUGUAAGUCAAAGCCCUGAUGGUCAGCACCAUUUAGAGUGGUGCAAAUGUUCGCAAGUGGAGCUAUUUAGAUCGAAUCAAAAUAUGGGACAAACAAGUUCUCAGUAAAUAGGCAAAGGUUAAAACAUUACCUUAGAAUAGCUAAAGAAAAAGGGGAUACAGUGGUGAUCAAUUUGAAAGAACCCCAGUACGCGAAUGAGGAGUGAUGGCUCAACUACUUGCGCUAUGCAGCAACGUUAAAUCAGGCAUUGUGUGGGAUGAAACCCAUGAAUGUGUUGUAAGCUUAGUAUGUAACUUCAUGUUUAACCCCCCCCCCCCCCCCCCNNNNNNNNNNNNNNNNNNNNNNNNNNNNNNNNNNNNNNNNNNNNNNNNNNNNNNNNNNNNNNNNNNNNNNNNNNNNNNNNNNNNNNNNNNNNNNNNNNNNNNNNNNNNNNNNNNNNNNNNNNNNNNNNNNNNNNNNNNNNNNNNNNNNNNNNNNNNNNNNNNNNNNNNNNNNNNNNNNNNNNNNCCUCCCCGUUCACCACGAUUGUGGGCAGUACUGCCUCAGACCGCAGUGUGGAGCGCGGUCGUGACCGCGAAAAUCACUAGAGCGUCGAUAAUUCACCGCGACCGUGGCACGAACUGCGGGCAACACUACCUCAGACCUCAGUAUGGACCGCGGUGAACACUGCCUGGGACAUAAAUCCCUCCGCGGCUGCGGAACGAACCGCGGAGGGAGGGGGUACCAGGUCUGUAAAAUCCCUUUUUCUUUUUCCCUUCUCUUCUUCUUUUAAGUUUAAAACAACCUCCCCCCACACACCCCCCCCUUCCCAAAAAAAAUCCCCAAUAUUCCUCUCUCUCUAAACCCUAAUCCUCCCCUCUAUACUCUCUUUUUCUUCUUCUUCCUUCACACUAUCCCUCAUCUUCUUCCGCAAAUGUAUGAUUUCGACCCCCUUUCUCUUUUCUUCCUAUCUUUUGUGUUGUAUGCUACUUCAAUGUUGUAUAAUGUAGUUUUAGUGAUAAGAUUUUUGUUUAGCUUUUUUUCCUCCUUCUUUUCUAGUGUAAUUUCAUUUUUUUAUUGGCAUAUGUUGCUGAAGGGGCUGUGUAUUGAAUGUUGUAUGGGUGUCGUUGGUAGGUGCUUAUUUGUAGCAAGUGUGGGGUGUGUGGGUGCAGUGAAUAUUUGAAUUGGGGAAGUUUUCUUGAUUCCAUUGGGUCAUGUAUAUGAAGAUCCUUGCCAUUUUCACAAUGUGUUUGGGAAAUUACCUCAAUGGAGAUAUAAGGAAAUGUUAUGACAUGGUUGUGGUAAAGUCUGAGUAACCACCCAUAGUCACAUAUUUUGGACCCGUCCUAAUAAAAGUUCUCUAUUCUGACAGGUAUUAUGAGUUCAUCCUGUAAAAGACACAACACCGGUUCCUCUGCUAGUGGUCCUGGAGGUCAUCACGAGCUUGGGGCCAAGCCAGUGCCACUCAGUUCGAUAGAAAUCAGUUUGUUUCUCAAUCUGCAAAGAUGAGGUAUAAUCAGAAAGAUGCAAAGAAGUUACUCCAUGAGGUCCAUAUCGAUCGGGCGAUAUUGGUGAAAGAGUGCCCCAAUAUGUUAAUGAGCUAAGGAGGUUUCAGUUGGACAUCAUCUUUAAGGCUCUCGAGGAGGCCAAUAUUCAGCUAGUGCGAGAGUUUUAUGCAAAUCUGCCAGAGCACGAGGAUGGGGUUUUGAUUGUGCGCAACACUCGGGUUAAUGCUUCUAUAAAGGCUAUCUGUAGAGUGUAUCGCCUCCCCACCUUCACGGGUGAAGAUCACUACAUCAUGUCUCAUCGCCCGACAGUUGACUGGGACAUACUUUGGGAGGUAAUCUUUAUAUCUGGCAGAGUGUCCAAAUGGAUAGCACAACUGAAUACUCUACACUCACAGUCUCUUACUUGGGAGGCCAAGUGUUGGCUCAUGGUCAUCAACACUCAUCUGCAACCAUCCACCAAUACCGUAGAUGUGAAUGGGCCACGAUCACUAUGAUCUACUGCUUUAUGACUCACCAAGGGUUUGAUGUCGCCCCAGUCCUCCAUGACGAAAUGUUUAUUAGAUUGCCAGAGGUAAUCAAGGGUCACUACUUCCCUUCACUAGUUACUCGACUGUGCCGCCUUGGAAGGAUGCCUGAGAAUCUUCAAGUUGACAGGAAAUUACCUCUGAAGGCUCUUUUUCGGGAAGAAAAUUGGACUAGAGAGAAGACUGUCGGUGCAACACAGUGAUGACUCGUCUGAUGAGUCUGAUGAUGAUGCUAGUGCUACUGAGCUACCAGCUCCUCCGAGAGGGGAUGAGGCAGGACCAUCACAGCCAUGCCGGAGCACUCGCAUGGCCGCUUUGGAAGAGGAUAUAGCUGGGCUGCGGACCUCCGUAGCUUACUUGGGGACCCGAAUUGAUGCGGUGGCUGACCGACAGGUGAAGUCAGAAAAGAAAUUCAUGGUCUGGUUUAGAGCCCUAGGUUGCGCCUGCAAUGAAAACCCGGACACAGUUUCAGAUCAAGAGUGAUUCGUCAGGGAAGUUCCUUUACCUCACUUUUUUAUAUUGUCCAGCCAUGAGGACAUGUAUUUGUUUUAAGUGUGGGGUGGGGGAUACUUCAUUGUAUGUUGGUAAUUGUAAUAAUUAACUAUUUCAUUUGAUUGUUUUGAUGUUCGAAUAGUAAUUCAUUAGGUAAGUAGAAAUAGAAAUAGUAAGUGACUUGUCCUGUCAACGGAUCUCUUUUGACGGGGUUCUUGAGGGACUAAGUCGAAAAAUAAAUGGAAUAUAAAGACUCUUUCUGAUGACGAAUCCAUUAGACAAUUUUCUUGAGGGAAGGUAUUCUAGAAAAAGAAUACCAAAAAGAUUUUGUGUAGGUAGUGUAAUAACUCCCCCUUGAUUUUUCUUCGGGCCACGGUUCUUUUCCAAGGGUUUAGCUUGAACCGGGUAUAGGUAGAUUUGUGUUUUUUUUUUGUUUUAAGUUAGGAGUAAUGGGAGACGAGAUUAAAAUUGAAAAACCCUUAGCGUUCUUACAGCUGAACACGAUAGACGCUAGAGUGUAGCGCAUAGCUUCAAGGAUUGAAUCUUAUUUAAGUGCCUUAAAAAUGGUGUGUUUGUACCUAGCUUGAAUACUGAAAGGGAAUAUCUUGAUAAACUAAUCCAGAGUGAGAAGUCAUGUGCCAUGUGUGUGUGAGUGUUACUGUAUUCCAUGUUAUACAUUCGAUGCCUAGAACUUGCGCUCUGUGUUUGCAAAGCGAAAUAGUAGCUUCAUUCCGUUUUAGAAGUGAUAUUGGCAUAUCUUUGCUGAGCUAGAUAUGUAUAUUUUACCCGCCUAAUAGUUAUGUAUCGUAGUUAACACUGUUGAGCUGAUAAUCCUUUCCCCUUUUCAACCACAUUACAAGCCUUACCUAUUUUUUUGAAUUAACUAUCUAUUAUAACCUUUUCACCUCUCAUGAGCACUUGAAUUGUUAUGAACUUUGUAAAACUUAAAGUGUGGGGUGGUUGGUUUGGCUUUUGAGUGGAACUAAUUGAAUAAGAGAAAAGUGCACUGUUUUGGAAAAGGAAGAGCCACUUGAAUUGAAAGAAAAAAAUAUAAUAAUAUUUUCUUGAUAAGUGGUGACUCUUAACGUAAGUGUACUUAAAGAAGAAUAGGGUAGUUCACAUUGAUGAAAAGGUGGAAUUUUAGUUUGACAUAAAUAUGGGGUUUGCAUGUUAAUAUGUAUGUAAAGUGCUUAGGGAGGUGUAGUCACUCUUAUAUCUAAAUGUAUCCUACCCGUCCUGUAGCCCACAUUACAACCAAAUAAAGUCCUAAUUGAUCCAAGAUUGAAUGAGCUCGAUUAGUCGAGUACUAUACUAGGGGCAAGCUUAUGGUGCAUCUUUGUAGCAUGUGAAUGUUCUUUAUAGAGAGUGAGCGAAUUCUGUCUAUUUUAGUUCCUAAUUGUUAUGACUAUCAUUAUAUAUGAAACUACUCUAUUGUGUGAUGUCAGGGCAUGUGAUUCACAAAGGAAAGGUACGUCUUGACACUUAUGUAGAGUGGUUUGAGUAAGUGCAAAUGGUACAGGGUAUGAAAUAUUUGAUUCUUGAGGUAAAAGUUUGCUCACUACUAGGUGUAACUUUUGUAAAAUGUUCACAGUGUGAGUCGUUGAGGGAAAAUUAUAGGGAAAGAAUUUUGAUGGAGUGUGGAGAAUUGCUCGAGGGCUAGCAAUAAUUUAAGUGUGGGGUAUUGAUAAUAGGCUAUACAGUUGAUAUUUACACCUUAAUUGCCCAUGCUUUAUUGUUGUUUUACAAGGUAAUUUGCCAAUAAAAUGCUUUAGAUGGUGCUAAUUAGUUUCGCAGGGAAUACUAUAUGUGAAGAAGCAACAUGAAGUGUUUGGAGGAAAUAAUAUGAAGAAAACACCCACUCAAGAAGUGCUCGAAAAAGAUCAAAAGAAAUGACUGGACAGCGGAGUAGAGCGCGGAGACAAAACACAAAAAUCGGCCCAGGCAAGUGUUCACCGCGGUCCACGGCGCGGCCGCGGUGAACUGUUCACGAUUCAGAUAUUUGAGGGCCGAAGUGUCAGUUCGGGGAAACUUUUGGUAAAACCUUUAUAAGAUGUAGAAACUCGCCCAAGAAAAUAAAGCUUAAUUUUGAGAUUACUUUUCAAAGAAGAACAAGUGUGAGAGAUUACCCAAAACAUCAUAGUUCUUUAUCUCUUCUAUAUUUCUUGCAAUUCUUUCAUUAUGAAUAAUUUUGUAGUUUUAUCUUACGUUGUUAUGAGUAGCUAAAUAUCUUAAUCUAAGGGUUUGGUGAAACCCGUUGGGGAUGACUUGGUUGUUAUAUUAAUAUAGUUUUGAAUUAGUUUUUAAUCAAUAUUUGUUCAUCUAUGUUUGGAUUGUAGUUAGUUGAAAGGGCCCUCGCCUAUCCGCCCAUAUUACUAUGUUUCUGCUUGAGAGAGAGUGCAUAUUUAGGUGAUUGUAUGAACAAAAUCACUCCCGGAGUAUAGACGAGAGCCACAACCGAGGGUUUAGAGGUUGGAUUAGAGAUAAUGAUACCUCGGUUGCAAUCUAAGUGAACCGUAAUGUGAAUCUAGCUAGCGUAUCUUGAGAAAGUGUGUCUAGUAAAUUAUCAUAAUUGCUUGAGAAAGAUUUAUGAUAGCUGGAGCAUUCAUGAUUGAUGGAGACAACUAAGUCUCAGUUAUAAAACAUAUUCAUCCAAGGAAAUCAACGACGGAGGAAAACAUUAGCUUAGACCUUAUUCCAUUUGUUUGCAAAUCAAGAGUAGUUAACUUUCAGCUGUUAUUUAUUUUCAGUUUAGUUGUUAGAUAUAUCAUCAAUUGUGAAUUACAAAGUUUGGGGAAAUUGAUUUCAUAAAUUUAGUAAGUUCGACAAAAGUAAUUGAUAGGUUUAUUCCAUGUGGUUCGACUGUGUGCAAAAAUACUCAAAAUAUAUUUGUUACGUCCGCGUGUGUCUUUUAGAAGGCAUAGUGGCGUUAUCAGCAGGUGCGAGGAUAAAUGCAUGAGAGUUAUAUUGAGUUUUAGCUCUUUUUUCCUAUUUUGAGUUUUGGAGCUUGGGAAGAGGUAAUGAAGAGGCUUUCACUACUACUUUGAGGGUAGAAUUUUGAAGAAAAGUUUGAGAUUUUUGUCUACAAUUUAAAAGGAUAUAUUUUGGAGAUUUGAGCAUCAAUUUAGGCCCGAGUUCAGAAUUUAAUCAUAUAUUUGAACUCGUAGAGUUAUGGGUGGUUGAGAUCUACCUCAAGACUCGGUUUUGACCAUGUAGGUUCCGAUUGACCUUUUGAGAAUUAAUUAAAGAUUGAAGCUUUAUUAUUUGAGAUUACUUUUUAUAGCACUAUUUGACUCGUUUGAGUAAUCUUUGACUAGAUUCGAGUCAUUUGGUGUUGAAUUUGAAAGGAAAGAAAGUUGUUGUUGAUUAAAAUUUGUCGGAAAAAGGUAAGUCUCUUGCCUAAGAGAAAUUUUUUUUCAUCGAUGACAUGUUGCUAUUUGUUGCAUGGUUAAAUGUAUAUGUAAGAUGAUAAGCAUAUAUGUGUAGCUAGAUUGUGACCAUGGACGAAUAUAGUUGGGAUCAUGAUAUGCCUUAUUUGGACUUUAUGAAUUGAUUGUCCAUGUUCGUUUGAUGUUAUAACUACAUUAUAAACUAAAUCAUGAUUAGAAGACAUACUAGGGCUAUGACCUGUUGAUUUGAGAACGACAGACUUAUGUCACCGUGUUGAGAUUACUAGUUUGGUCGUAUUCAUGCAAUCGCCUUACAUGAUUUAUAAUUUAUUAGCUAUUCACUUACUUUGUUGUUGCUGAUAUCAUGAUCGGACUUAAAAAUGUUAAAUAAUGGCCUAGCCAUGUCUUGGUGCAUCUUUAUUAUAUCAUCUCAUAUGUAUAUUCAGGAGACGGAGAGUUGGAUAUUGAGAAAAUUUGAGAAUUUUGGCACCAAUGACAUUGUAAGCGGAUAGUAAUUAUUAAUAAUAUUAUGAUUGGAUAACGGGUUACAUGCAUCAAAGGUAUUAUAUCUGGAUUCAAUUGUACGUUGCAAUGGUAUUAUAUAUGAAUCGGAUUGCAUGUGAACUGAAUUAUAUGCUCAGUAUUAUUAGCGAAUCGGGUUACACGCUAUAACAAUACUUGAAUAUAGAUUUAUCCCACCGGAGUCGAGUGAUCAUCCUAUUACUUUGAGCUCUGUAAGCAGAGACAUUAGAUUGAUACUAGUUUAGACACUUGACCAGUGUUAGGAAUAUGGUUUGUUUAGUGAGGUAUUGAGAUUGGAUAAUGGUCAUGCAUUUGUAAGCUUAGACUCAUGCAUAUAUAUAUAGAGAGAGAGACUCAUAUCAUUAUAAUGAAAAGAAUUAAGAUAAAUGAUGUUGUAUUCUAUCUUUUGUCUGAAAAGCAUGUCUAAAUUUUAUUUUUACUGUGUUUCUACUGGUGGACUUGAUUGAUGAUAUCAUGCUUUAUCCCUUGUUCUAAUUAUAUUUUCAUAUGCUUAUUGAGCUAUUAGUAAGUGUCUGGUCGACUUCUCGUUACUACUUUUUUGAGGCUAGACAUGAUACCUACUGAGUAUUGUGGAUUUGUACUCAUAUUACAAUACUGUACACUUUUUUUUUGCAGAAACUGAGGUUGGUAUUAGCAGUACCCAAUGUAUUAAGUAUGAGUAUUUUGUGGGAGACUUCGUGGUGAGCUAUUUUACUUGACUCGAUCCACAACAUAUAGAGUCUCCCACUCGUUUAUAUUUGUCUAUGUAUUUCCAUUUUCACACAGAUAUUGUUUUUCAUUUGAGACUAUAUACUCUUGUUAGAUGAUCAUGACGAUAUUGUUACACCAAGUCUUGGAAGAGGCUAUGAGACAGUUGUGGUCAUGCUUAGAUUCAGUCGGGGAUUCGUAUAUUUAUGAUAUUAAUUUGAGACUUAUUCUACCUUGUUAUUUAUGAUAUGAAUCAAUUAAUGGCUUAAUAAUUGAAUCAUAUUAUUGUUGUUGAGUGUUAGCUUGCGUAGCAAAUAAGUUAUGUGCCACCACGACUGUUGGUAAGAUUUUGGUCCCUGAUAAAUUUCCACGCCAUGAGAAAUUUGAAUAGUUCCUCUAAUUGGGUUUGUAAGUGUAACGAUACUGAUUUUGAUUCGGUUAGCCUCUAAAUGAAAGUAUAAGCUAACACAUCGUUGGUCUGAUUAUGGUGUGGACAGUCCUUUAACAAUAAUUCUCCCAAACUGUGUACAAUCACAUCUUCUCUCGGUUUGAAGGCAAUUGUCUUGCUUCAGAUCUUUGUAGACUUACCAGGUGAAAAGAACCUUGUUAAAAAUUGCGAGCCAAGUUCUUCCACGAUGUAAUAGAGCUAGCUGGCUCAUUUUCAGUCGCCUAGUGUGAUUUAUGACAUAAUCUCAUGGUGAUGUAGGUGUCAAUAAUUAAUAGAUAUGCCACUGGGAAUCUUCAUAUGAUAGUCCUAUAAAUUGACUAUUUGCAUGUAGUAACUGAAUUAUUUUUCGCUUAAACUUAAAGUGCUCAGUGAUCCUGGUUUAAUAAUACUGGGAGUGAUAUUAGCGAUGCUAGAAAUUUAAAAUUAUAAAAAAAAAAAACUAUUUUUCGUGCAGAAUGGACGCAUUGGGAUGGGAGAAGAAGAUGAGUGAUGCAAAAAAAACGAAAAAAUAAAAUUUUGAAAAUUACAAAAACAAAAAAAAAUUAAAUUUUUUUGCACGGGUGGGUAGGGGAAAGUCAGGGUGGGGUUUGACAAGGUGGGGGUAAGUGGUACAGAAAAAUAAAAAAUAAAAUUUAAAAAUACAAAAAAAAAAAGUAAAAAAAGAUAUUAUUUUUGAAAGGAGGUAGCAGGGUGGGUGGUGACUGAAAAAAAAAGUUUUUUGUGAAAGGGGAUGGAGGCAUGGGCGGGUGGUGUGGGAGUGUGCGGGAUGGGUUGGCGAGGGUGGAGAAGGUUGAGAAGGAGUUUUGGAAAAUAAUUUUUCCUUCUCUUAACAAGAAUUUCCUCCAAUAAUAAAUUCAUAAGAAAAAUAUUUUCCCAAAUAUUUUAGCCAAUUAAAUAUAAAAAAAGGAAAAACGGUCAGAACUGCCCUAACGUAUUGACUACAGUUUAAAAAUGCCCUACGUUAACCUAUUUUAAAAAAAUGCCCCCACCGUUAAAAAUUUGGCAUAUUUUUGCCCCUAAGUCUAACAACUGACUGUACUUAUAUUUAAAACGUAGGGGCAUUUUUUUCAAAAUAGGUUAACGGUACGGGCAUUUUUAAACUGGAGUCAAUACGUUAGAGGCACAAUAUGCCAGAAUUUUAACGGUAGGGGCAUUUUCUUCAAAAUAGGUUAACAGAGGGCAUUUUUAACCUGGCGUCAAUACAUUAGGGGCAGUUCUGACCCAUUUCCGUAGUAUUUAUGAAGCUUUAUCCCUGCCGGCAAAAAUUUCUAAACCCAUCUGUAUAUCGAAACUAUGUCCCACCACAACAGUAAAUCCAACAAAUCCCAACAGAAUAAGGGGCAUUUUUAUACUGACUUUUAGAUUUAGGGGCACAAAUAUGCCAGAAUUUUAAUGGCAGGGGCAUUUUUUUCAAAAUAGGUUAACGGAGGACAUUUUUAAACUGGCGUCAAUACGUUAGGGGCUGUUCUGACCCUUUUCCGUAUAAAAAAUUAAAAAAUAUUUUCCAAAAAUAUUUUAAUUCGUACCAACACACGCGGAGGGUUUCAUUCUUUUAAUAGGGCGGUGCUGCUUCAUUCCUCUUUGUUCUUGUGGCGUUUUAAUUGUCAAACGGUUUCCAUUAAGCAUGAAAUCUUUGAAAACAUUAUCCUAUUUUAUGGGUGUCCAAUGUCAAAUAAUACACCGCAUUCAUUAUGGACCGUUGGAUCAUUAUCCCUAAUCCUGUUUGCACUGACUUUAAUUUCUCUCCCAAUAGAAAUAGUGUUCUACGGACUACGCUAUUAUAUAUUCCUAUAUGUAAUGAUUGAAAUUGAGUUAUACAUUUUAUUCCUAUAUGUGAUGAUUGAAAUUGAGUACUCCGAAUGAGCAGAAUUCAGAAGUUGUGAAUUAACUGUUUUUUUUUUGUGUUUGAUAAAAUUUGAAUUCGUGUCAGAAAAUUUUAUAUUACGAGGUGAAUCACUCCCUAGCAAAGACGAUUUCAUAUCUAAGGAUUCAAAUCCGAAAUCUCUUAUUAAAGCUAAAAAGUAUAUUUAUUACUUCACCACAAUUUUUAUUGGUUGAAUUAACUUAUCCUACACCGAAGAAAGUUUGCACAAAAUGCUAAAAAAAAACCAAAAAAUUAAUUUUGGACCUUAAAAGAAAAAUUAGAAGUCAAAGCACUUUCACUAAUAUCAGAUAGUAGAAAAACACAAAUGUGCAAUAUCGUCUGAGGGGACAAGAAACAAUUAGAUUGUUCUAUAUCCAACCUAAUAAUGAAAUAUUAGUCUUUUUUACGCUGAUCUAACAUCAAAUCAAAACUAGUUUCGUUGUCUUUAAACUAAAUAUAUUUAUUUAGAAACAAAAAUGCAAUCAUCCAAAAAAAUACUUAUCAAACAUUCAAACUCACAUUUUUUUCUCAAGCGGAAUGUAACAUAUGGAUGGUAAAUGUCUUAGGCGUAUGUAGUAUAUACUAUAUAGGUGAGGGGUUCAAUUGAACUCUUAACUUGCAAUGUUGAGCAUAAAUAUAAGUGAAAAUUUACUAAAAUUACAACAAAAAAUAUAUAUAUGAACCCAUAAUUUUAAGAAAAUAAUGAAUUUAAUGUUAAAAUUUUUAAAAGUUAACACAAAAAAUUUAAAUUCUGAAUUUGUCGUUACUAAACUUAAGUUACCCAACUACUUUCAGUUUGAAGUUGAACUACAUAACACGAUAUUUUUCUUAUUUAAACUUUGAAUUCACACUUGAUCACACAUGCUGUUACAUACUCUCUUUUUUCCCAUUAGGUUUAGGAAGUAACGAACACCAAAACGUAUUCUCGUCGAGGGGUGAAGCUAUAGCGCAUCAAGGAUGAUUCCUUCGUCAAAAAAUUAUAUAUAUAUAUUCUUUAUUAAAUUUUUUUUGAAUAAAUUCCUGAUUUCGCCGUGUUCUCGUUUCUUAGAUGUGAGGCCCUUAUUUGAGUUGUCUCUGUUGACUCAACAGCUUCUUCAACUUCAAGUACUUAAGAAUUUGUACACAGCUGGGGGAGUCGGCAAAGUACAAGAAAAUAUAGAGGUGGUCCUUAGACAAAUAAACUUUCUGUGUGAUAUAUUCAAUCAAUCAGAAUCAGGGUCAAGUGUCACUUUUCCAACUACCAACUCUAGCAAAAAAUAUAUACCCCCCUCUCCCCCCCAAAAAAAUAAAAAUGAAAAGUUGCUUGGCCUAUAUUUCGUGUAAAUAUUUCCGACAAAAGUCAUGUCAGAAAAGAAAAAAAAAGGCCACAUAAAUCUUGAAUUGUUGUUUGAUUAGAAUGACUUUUUCCUAUUUAAUCAGCAGUAAGUUUGAAUAGUGUUGCAUUUGUAUAUGGAAAAGUUGAAAUGUGCUCAAAGUUCGUCGGUGGAAUAGUUUAUUAUUUAUAGAGUUGGGGGCAUCUCGAUCAAAAGAGGAAAAAAGGAAAUUUUCUUAAAGGAGUGACACAAAAAUAUGUAAUGCAUGUAUAUAGGUUGGAAUUUGUCAUUUUAAUUUGCAAAUUCGUUUGCCCCACCACUUGAUAAUGCUAGAACAGAGACACGGUUUAAACAACAACAACAACUCCUUACCCAUACUCGAAAGGACAGAGAGGCUAUUUCCAAUCGACCCUCAGCGCACGGUUUAAGAUAUUAAAUAUUGACAAUAUUUUUGAAGAAAAUGACAUAAAUCAUACACUCAUUCCUAUGGUUUUUUUUAUGCUGCGUUCUUUAUAAAGUGAAAAGGAACGUUUCAUUUUAUAUAACUUCGUUAUUUCUCCUCUCUUUUUGUUUGGGUGGGGUAGAGCUGUCUAACGGGAGAGUUCUGAGUACUUAAGGGAAUUUGGUAAGAGACGGUACCGGUAAAGGGAUUUCUUAAAUUGAAAUUUUAAAAAAUUAUUAUAUUUAGAUAUACACAAACUUUAAGGGAUGAAAAAAAAUCUAUUAAUUAGCUUUUGUUUUAUUUAAUGCAAUGUAAAUAUUAAGUUUCUAUACAAGUAUUUAUCUAUAUUUCAAUACUUGUAAAAAUAAAAUUACAUUUUUCUUUAAAUAAUUUACAUAAUUUUUAUAAAUAUUUUUUCAUGGUUUUCCGGUUGGAAUUGGUCCAAUAAUGAGCAACGUAAAGUCGUAAACUAUGGAAGGGUAUGAUUUAAUGUUUUAAAAGAGAGAGACUCAGAUCUGAAUUGCUCCCUGAUUAAGGAAAGGCCUGAUUUGAAAUACUUAUCAAAUAAAAGUCAUCAGUCGAAACAAUAAUCUAGUAAAUAUAAUUGCUUUAAAAGGAGCCAUCAAUUUUUAGAGAAACACUAAUUUAAACAUGUUUCGUAGGAAAAGAUAAGAGAGCUGUAAUUUUAUUAAGGAUAUAUUUUUAAAGAAAAUAUAAGGGCAUCGGUUUGAUAUAGGAUCGAUACGGGUUCGGUGCUUUAAGGGUACCAACCAGAUCGUUUCUAGCGAUACUUUUUCUAGUACCCUCCCACUCCAUUUUCCCUUGGCCUAAAUCUCUUACCCCUAACUCCCAAUCGAAUCAAAACGGAGCGAUAUCGAUAUCGAAGCGAACCAGACCAAUCUCGGAUUGUUCCCUCUCCUUAAACAGUCUUAGGUGGGGGUAUGUUGAAGAUAAGAACCCCCAUGUUGAUUCAAAGAAUAAUUCACAGAAUAAUGAAGAAGUAAGAGAAAAGAAGAAGUAAGAAGAAAUUUCGAAGUCUCCAAGGAAUUAUUUGAGCGUAUAUCUAAAGAAAUUUGCUGAGACACUAAUCUCAUUUUAAGGAGAGACACGUGUCAAAAUCAUAAGCAUUGAUGUUAAAACUCUAAAUUCAUUUGGGACGUUGAUUUGAUGAGAGAAGGAUAAAUUACAGCCAUUCACUUAAUGCUUCUCAAAUCAGAUGAGAAAGGUUCUAGAAUUUUCGCACGUGAAUGGCACAUGCACACACAUGGUUAAGAAUAUAUCCUUUAGUUAGUCGGUCACACAUUUAGUCAAUAGAAAAUAGUACAAAUGUAUAGGAAUAUUUUAUUUAUAUUCUCUUGUAUCUAUACUAUAUACUGAGGCUACACUGAAUAAAAAUUACACAGAAGAAAUUCACAAUCUCAGCAUUUUCUUUCAUGGUAUUAAGAAGAUUUAGCUCGAUCCAUUCACAAUUCAUAUCAAGUUUUCAUCAAAUUUUCUUUCUCGUAUCUAUCUUUGGAUUCAAUCAUGAUUCGUACAGAAGUUUCAACUGUUGUCUCUAUCUCUGGAUCAAUAAGCAUUGGAGUUACCAAUGACUCCAAUCACCCGUAUUGCUUGCACUCUUAUGAUACUCCAGGAAUGGGUCUGGUGAACUCAUGUUUCUAUAGAAGAGGAUUCCUGAGAUAGAAGAGAUUUGUCCUUAUUGCAUUCUCAGCCAAGAACAAACUUGGCUUCAUCAUUGGAUCUUGUGUGAAGCCAACAAUGGAUGACAAUAAUUAUCUAUUGUGGAGUAGGUGCAAUGACAUGAUCACCUCUUGGUUGCUCAACUCAUUGACCAAAGAUAUAGGUGACAGUGUCAUUCACUUAAGAACAACUAAGGACCUUUGGAGCGUCCUGGAACAUGGGUUUUGGGCAGUCAAAUGGAGCAAAGCUAUACCAUCUACAUAAGGGAAUUUCAAAACCAAUUCAGGGAAGUAGCAGCAUAUCAGGUUAUUUCACCACUCUUAAGAGACUAUGGGAUAAGCUGAACUCACUUAACUCACACUUAGGGUGCACUAGUGCAUGUAACUGUGAUGGUAAAAAGAAGAUAGCUAAGUUCAUGGAAGACCGAAAGGUCAUUCAAUUCCUAAUGGUACUGAAUGAUGCUUAUGCACAAGCAAGGGGAAACAUUCUAAUGCUCAGUCACAUUCUUGGCAUAGAUCAAACUUACUCACUCUUACUACAAGAUGAGAGCCAAAGGGAGACCUAUAUGAGCACACAAUAUCCUAUUGAUGGGGCUUCUUUUAUGGUAGGAUCACAGAACAAAUUACCACAAAAUAACCAAAUGCAAGAAGGUUGGACUUCUCAGCAAAAGUCAGGAAAGACACAAUAUAAGUCUGAGACAAAAAAAUUUAAGUUUAAUCCCAAUGUUACUUGCAUCCAUUGCUCAAAGAUAGGACAUGUAAGGGCUGACUACUAUAGACUUAUAUGAUGCCUUGAUGAAUUCCAAUUUACUAAGGGUGGAAAUUUUCAAGGAGCAACAAUAAAAUCAAAUGUUGUAGUUUCAUAUCAUGGGUGAUGAAAGUCUGGUGAGAGCAAUGAAGGAAACAACAAUCAGACAUAAUUUUUCAAUAAAUAACAAGUCUCUGAACUGGUAAAGAUAAUCAGACAAGUGCAGGUUGGGAGUACGGGAUAUGCAACCUCAGAAAUUAGUACCAAUGGUGUUACUGGAAAUAUUCUCAAAUAUUCAGGAACAUAUCUUGUUGUUUUUAAUACUAAAACCUAGAUAACUGAUUCAGGUGCCUCAAAACAUAUGUGUUUUGAUUUCAAGUCUUCCCUAACUCUAACACGCUUACGUGUGCCUUUACAUAUAAGUUUGCCUAAUUCUUUUCAGCUGUUUGUCACACACAUAAGGCAGAUUUGCAUUCAUCCAAAUAUGAUUCUAGAAAGAGUUCAUUAUGUCCCACUUUCCAAUAUAACUCACUACAAGAAAACCUUAGAUUACAUGGGGAUUUUACAUGGGAAUUUUUCCAAUAACUCCUAGGUUCUAGAAUAAUUACCUGCCAAAUUCAAUUUUUUCAGGUAAAUCCGCAAAUAAAUUUGUCGCCAUUUAGCGCAAAAUAUUACCUGGGGAUUUAUUUGGAAAAAUAAUUUCCAAGUAUCAUUUUCGUGGGUAAUUUUGCAGGUAAAUAAUGAAAAAUAUAAAAAAAAUAUUUCCUUUGUGAUUUCAUAGGAACUUCUCCAGGUAAUGUUACUUGUGAAUUUAGUUAGGAAUAAUUUCUUGCGAAUUUACAUGAGAAUUAUUUUAUCUAGGGAAUUACCUUGGGAUUUGUUGUUGCGGUUUUAGUUGGGGAUUAUGUCUUGAGAAUUUACCAGGGGAUAUUAUUACCUCGGAAAUUACCUGAGAAUAUUUGUUUGUAAUAUUAGUUGGGGAUUAUUUCUUAGGGGUUUACAUGAAGAAUUUAUUACCGAGGGAUUAACUUGUAGAUUUUAUUGUUGCAAUUUUAGUUGGGAAUUAUUCUUGAGGAUUUACAUGAAUAUUUUUUAGUUAGAAAAUUACCUAGAAACUUUGUUGCUGCAAUAUUAGCUUGAACUAUUUCUUAAAAAUUUACUUGAGAAUUUUAUUAUUGCAAGUUUAGGUGAAAAUAUUUUGUUUGUAUUUACCUAAAAAAUCUAUUACCUAAGAAAUUAAUUGAAGAUUAUUUGUGCGAUUUUGGGUGAAAACUUAUUUUUGUGAACUUAUUUGAGUAUUUCAUUGAUAUGGUUUUGAUUGAGGAUUUCUUCUUUAAAUUUAUUUGAGAAAUUUAUAAAUGUUGAUUUAGUUUGACAUAUAUUAACUUGAAAAUUUAUCUGAAAAUUUUAUGGCCACAUAUUUAUCUUUGAAAUUCAUUCAAUACAAUUUAAAAAUAUUAAAUAGAAGAAAAAAUUAUUUUUAAUUUAAAAGUUAUUUUAAGAGUUACAAAAAUAUGAUAUGUAAAAUUAUCCUUCAAUAUUGAUUAUAUCUUUUUAAUAUUAUUUAUAGGUAAAUAGUUAAAAUGUUGAUCCUACAUAAAACUUAAUUGUGUGAAAUAGGUUGGAUUGAAUAUUACAAGUCAUUGAGCAUAAUAUAGCUGGUUAUUACUAUUUUUGAACAAAUUUAAUGUCAAAAUAAUUAUCAUAACUCUAGUUAUUUUAAGAAUUAAAUUUUUUGAUAUGGUUGAUAUAAAGGGAUUAAAAAUUAUCAUAACUCUCUCAUGCUCUCGACGUAAGUUAGAUUAACCUGUGCCGGUGUGAAAAUGGCAGGAGCGAGAGGCUGUGGUGGUGUCCAAGGUAGAGGAAGAGGCCAUCCACCAAAAAUUAUAACAACAACUUUAAGUAGGAAGACAAAAAUGAUGAAGAACCAAAGGAAGAUAAGGAAGCAGAGGUACAAUCGAUACAUGCAAACAAUGGAUCUGGAGCUAGGAGUCAAAUUGAAGAACCAGAAGGGUCUCAAUAGAGAUUUGAGAUGGCUAUGAAGGAACGAUAAACAGGAAAGGAUAUAGAUAAAAGGAAUGAGAUAAGUUCACAGAUGCAAACCAACAGAACAAUAACAAUGGUAGAAGAAAGCAAGGAAGAAGCUAAGGAGGAGGUGAGAGCAGCAUGGACGAGCCUAUUUGUGAAUAAUAGAGUAGAUGAAAAUGGUAUGAAACUAACCUACAUACCUCCACAAGUGGUAAAUGGUGAAAUAUAGUACAAUUAGAUAAGGAAGAAAUCGAUAGAGAAACAGAGAAAUGGAAAGGGGCUUUAAUUGUGUAUGUUCUAGGUGAUUUUCAAGGAUAUAAUGUAAUGAAGAGAUAUAUAGAAAACACAUGGAAUACAAUUCCAGAUCCAAAGUUAUAUAUGCAUAAGGAUGGUUAUUAUGUAAUUAAAUUUAAAACAAUGGAAGAUAUGCAGGAAAUUGUUUUAGCAGGUCCAUAUACAAUCAAUAAUAGGCCAAUUAUAAUUAAACAAUGGACAGCUGAUUUUGAUAUUGAGAAGGAAUUUCCCACUGAGUUCCAUUAUGGAUUAGAUUUCCGAAACUCUCAUUGAACUUAUGGGGAGUGAACUCACUAAGUAGUAUUGCAAGCUCUAUUGGUACACCUAUGUAUACUUAUGAAUGCACUGCAAAGCAACUAAGAGAAUCAUAUGUUAGAAUGCUAAUAGAGAUGGAUGUGACAAAUCCUCUAAAGGAUUAAACAAUAGUGAAAGAUUUAAAUGGAAAAAUAUUUUUUCAAUCAGUACUCUAUGAAUGGAAACCAAAAUUAUGUGAAAAGUGUCAAACCAUUGGGCAUGAUUGCAAGCAGGAAAGAGGAAGGCAGAUUCAUGAAUACCCAGAAUGAACAGAGAAAGCCAAAGAAAGUAGUGCAAUACUGGGUUUCAAAGGAAAAAGGGAAAACAAAAGAGAUUGAACAAGAAACUGCCCUAGAGAAAGGAAUGAUACAACAACAAGAGAGUAGAAGAAUAAUGGAAGUAGGACAAGGGUCAAAAGAAGCAAAGAAGCAGAAAUCAAUAAGCAAUGAAGUUCAAACACCAGGGAAUACAAGGAAAGAGGUGGAAAGUCAAAUCCCAGAGUCUAAUUACAUUCAUUUCCCAAUCUUGGUAUCAGUACCACUAAGGAAUGAAUUCUAAAUAUUGAGUCGAGAGGGGAAGGGUGCACACACAAUACCUCCAGACAUAGGAGGUAAGACAGGGAUAUCCUUAUGAACUGGUUAGUAUGAAAUAUAAGGGGAGUUAAUAAAAGGUACAAGCAGAAAAAACUGAAGUAACUUCUGACAACAAAAAAAUAAAAAAAAAUAUGGAUAGCUGGUAUAGUUGAAACAAGAGUAAAACUGGAAGUAUAACAAAAAAUAUAGCAACAGGGUGAAGUAGUGUGAAUAAUUUUGCAUCAGUCAGGAAUGGAAGGAUCUAGGUAAUGUGGGAUGAUAAUACCUACCGGGUUACUAAGAUAAAGGAAAAUGCUCAAAUGAUACAUUAUGAAGUUAUAGAUAAUGAUGGUCAGGUGGACUGUUUGAUGACUAUCAUAUAUGGUUUUAACAUAAUUGGGAAAAGGAAAGACCUAUGGGAAGAACUGAAAUACUAACUCAAGGUAUCAACAAACCUUGGAUAGUGAUAGAUGAUUUUAAUGCAGUUAUGUAUGUGCAGAUAGGAAUCAAGGCAAUCCAGUCCAAUAGGGUGAUGUACAAGACUUAGUAGAAUGCAUACAACCAACCUAGAUGAACUGUUGUAGAAAGGAGAUUACUAUACAUAGAGUAACAAGCAAAGAAUGAAAGAUAGAAUACAAAGUAAAAUUGAUAGAGUCUUUGGGAAUUAUGAAUGGAUGAUGGAAUAGGAAAAUGUAAUAGUGGAAUAUGAGCUUCCUGAGAUUUCAUAUCAUGCACCAAUGCUACAAAAGAUGGAAGUGGAUCAAGCCAAUUAUAGGAGUACUUUUAGAUUCUUUGAUAUUUGGGCAGAUCACAAUGAAUUUACACAGUUAGUAGAAAAAACUUGGCAACUGUGUCAAGAUCCUUGGCUAAUGAGAGGAAUAUGGAGAAAGUUGAAAAGGCUCAAAACUAUAUUGAAGACACUGAGCAACAGAGAAUUUAGGAAUGCUAAGCAAAAAAUGUAAGAUACUAGGGAAGAAAUAAAGAAAAUACAAAGUCAAAUGCAGCAAAAGUUUGAUGAUGUAUUACAAGCUCAAGAGAGGGAGGGACAGCAGAAAUUAGAAAAGUGGUCAAUGAUAGAAGAAAGCAUUAUGAAGCAGAAAUCAAGGGACAAAUGGAUAAAACUAGGAUAUGCAAAUACCAAAUACUCCUCAAUAGUAAUGAAAGAAAGAAAGCACAUGAGACAAAUAAAAGAACUAAUGGGAUUAGAUGGUAACAAAUAAACAAAUAGAAUGGGAUUCAGGAAGAAGUUUUGAGAUUUUAUGAAGGCCUUACGAGCACAACAACUAGGAAUCUAAUAGCAAUUAAUAGAACAUUAAUGAAAAAAGGGCCUACGUUGAACAAGGAACAGAGAAUGAUGCUAAACACAGAAGUAACUUGACAGGAAUUGUAUGAAGGGCUAAAAGAAAUAGGAGAUGAUAAGACACCAAGGAUAGAUGGCUAUAAUGCAGUGUUUUAUAAGAGAACAUGGCACAUUAUAGGUGAUGAGGUGACUAAACCAGUGCAAGAGUUCUUCAGUACAGGAAGAUUGUAUAGGGCUAUUAAUUGUACAACCAUAACUUGAUACCAAAGAUACAGAAUCCGGUAACAAUUAAAGAAUACAUACCAAUAGCAUGUUGCACAGUGCUAUACAAGAUGAUCUCAAAGAUAUUGGCAACUAGAAUGCAGAAGAUACUAGGAGGAAUUAUUUGUGAAGCACAAGCUGGAUUUGUACUAGGGAGGAGAAUAUGAGACAACAUUGUUCUGGCCCAUGAAUUAGUUAAAGGUUACACAAGGAAGCACAUAACACCAUGAUACAUGAUAAAUAUUGACUUACAAAAGGCCUAUGAAGCAGUGAAUAGAGUUAUUUGGAGCAGGUUAAAGUUGAUGGGAUUCCCAUAAAGAUACAUAGCAUGGGUGAUGGAGUGUAUUAAAACAAUAAACUACAUAAUCAUGGAGAACUAACAGAAUCCUUUAAUGCUAAGAAGGGUUUGAGGGAAGAGGAUCCUAUGUCACCUGUCUUGUUUGCAAUUGCAAUUAGCUGGCAGCAAGCCAAGGCUAAUCAUCGGUGCUCUUUAGUUCUUUCAUUCUUCUUACUUCUACCUUCAUUGGUAUGUCCUAGUUUAAUUUAAAGCCUCAACAACAACAUGCUUCUCUUCUUAUUUCAGUUUCUUCUAUUUCUAGCUUGCUUUUACUUGUGGUUAUUGUGAAGUUUGUAAUUAGGUUAUAUUAUCAACGUAUGCCUCCCCUCCCUUUAAAUUCAUGUAUUUCCUUAUGUCAUUCAAGCAUGCCUGGACAAUUGUUUUUUACCUACUAUGUACUUACCAUUCUUAUGGAUCAAAUCCCUAUCCCCCUAUUUGUUUAUGUUCUCCAUUAUUAGUUUGUGAUUAUGCCAAUUUCAACUAUUUAUGAGCAUGUCCAAACCAGUCCCCCUUGAUCCACUGCUGAACUCAUUUGGGUUCUAUAUGUGAUCCUAUCCUAAAGUGUUUGAUUUUUUUAUCACUUCAACCUUUUUCAAACAACCUCUAUUACCUUACUGAUUGCUUUCAAAAUAGACUUUCAAAACCAGGCUUUAAUAGAUUUCUUUCAACCUAUGCCUUGCACCUCAACUUCACUCUUAAUUAAUAAGUGUUGCCCUCUCUAGUAUGUGUACCUCCUUGGGAUCCUCUUGAGAAGCCUCUGAACUCUGAGAUACUGAGGCUGGACUUUUCACACUGCACUGGUUCAAUGCUUGGUUACUAAGUCUAGGUGUAAGCAUUGCCCGAGGUCCUUGAGACCCUUAGGAAACUUUGAUGCAACUAGACUCUGAUUUGUCUAUGAAAAUGAGGUUUGAAAGACCAUUAGAGGCUUUGGGAAACUUGGUCCUAAUUGCAGGAUCUCAAUAGAAUAGCUUCUUGAUUUUCUACUUUUAUUUAUGUAAUUCAUUUAUUGGCAUGUAAUAAUUUAUAAACAGAGUAUUCAGUAAAAGGGUGGGUAGAUGUAUACUUUGUGGCGUAGCAUGGGUAGAAUCCUGCACUUAGGGUUUAUUUUCAAAUCUGUCUGCUUCACUCAAUAGAAAACAUGUCCAUAGGGUUUUAUUCUUAUUGAAUUUGAUUGCUUUUUUCACAAUAGAAUCAUGCCUAAAAGACUCCACUUUUUGUUUCAUUUACAUCACAAUACAGAAUCAUGACUAUAGGAUUUCACUUAUACUAUCAUUUGCAUCAAUUAGAAAUCAUGCCUAUAAGGAUGUCACUUUUAAUGUCGUCUGCAUCAGAUAGAAACCAUGUUCAUAAAAAAUUCUGCAUUUGUCAUGUUAGAAAUCAUGUUUCUAGGUUCCAACCAUCAUGUCUUAAAUCAAUUCAAAUAUAGAUACCAUGUCUGUAGGGUUUAAUUCUGAUUCAGCUCUAAUUAAGUCUUCCAUACGUUACUGCCAGUUGACUAAAACCUGUAACGCACCUAGAUAACGCAUGUAGGAAUUUCCAUUUGCAAUUACGUCUGGUAAUCUAAUUAAUCCUAAUAAGUCAAUUUCAUUUCGCCCAGGUUACCUAUUAAGCUGGCCUUAUUAAAAGAUGACAUUUACUGAAAAUAGUUCUUUCAAAAUUGCUUUAAUCUCAUUAGAUAUCCUGCCCACAUGUAUUAAAAAGGUUUAUUUUGAAAACUUUUUUGUUUCUGCAUUAAUAUAGACACAGUACUGCAUAUAGGCACGCCUUAGGGCAUUUUCAAAACUUGCAUUUCCUUGAAGUUGUUUCUGUCGUUCAAUGUUGCUGAUUCUAAUAAGUUGUUAAAGAGGAGUCCUUAGACAACUACUAGAUUAUAUCUUCUGGAUCUAAAAGCUGUCUAUUUCUACAUAAUUAUUUGAAAAUUUUGCUUUAGUACUUUGAUUAAUGAAGACCUUAAUUGUGAUUCAGACGUGUUAUUUUUAUGUAUGUUUGAUAAGGAACAGUGAGCCUCUUAAUUGCUCCCAUUACGUGAAAGUCCUAAAUGUUUUUGACUGUCUCCUUAGAUUCUUGCCUUUAAAACCUUAGGGGUAUGUCUAUAGCUACCUAUAGGUAAAGGUACUAACUCCAUCUGGGAUCGUUAAGAAGGGAUGGGUAGUAGCACGCACUAGGUAUCAGUGACCAACCACUCGUUUUGCAUGGCCAAUUAGGGGAUGAGAAGGGUAGACAUGAGAUGUGAUGACUACGCAUUAAUGUCACGUGUAGCCCCUCAUUAAGGAGUGCCUACCAGAUAUUGCGUGGGGUGAUCCUAUAGGAUAAACAACCUAGGACCCUCCUUACACCAAAUCCUCUCUUCGUUUAAAACUUUGUUUUUAUAAUUUAUUCAAACUUCUAUUUUCACUACUUCAGUCGUUCAAUGUGCUUUACAACUAAUUUGUUUCAAAUAUUUCUAUGGACUAAUUUGUAAAUAUAAGUUCGGCUGGGACCCAUAGUUGAGGACCAAGAGGGGUGCCUAAUAUCUUCCCCUCGAGGUUACUUCGAGCCCGUACACUAAUCUUUGAUAAUGCGAACCAACCCAACAGUUAACUAUUCUAGGUGCCCUAACGCACCUUAAUUCGUUAGGUGACGACUUUUCAAACACCCAAUUCCCAAAAGAAAAUGAGUCACCAUUCCCGUGAAUGUCGAAAACUGGACUUCUCCCCGCAGGGGGGAGGAAGGGGGAAGGGGAGCGGGAUAAUGCUGAUACGUAACAUAAUAUUAAUGGUAAUAUUUAGGAUAUACUGAUACUAAUUAUUAAUAGUUAUAAGGGCUAACAUAUAUAUAUAUAUAUAUANNNNNNNNNNNNNNNNNNNNNNNNNNNNNNNNNNNNNNNNNNNNNNNNNNNNNNNNNNNNNNNNNNNNNNNNNNNNNNNNNNNNNNNNNNNNNNNNNNNNNNNNNNNNNNNNNNNNNNNNNNNNNNNNNNNNNNNNNNNNNNNNNNNNNNNNNNNNNNNNNNNNNNNNNNNNNNNNNNNNNNNNNNNNNNNNNNNNNNNNNNNNNNNNNNNNNNNNNNNNNNNNNNNNNNNNNNNNNNNNNNNNNNNNNNNNNNNNNNNNNNNNNNNNNNNNNNNNNNNNNNNNNNNNNNNNNNNNNNNNNNNNNNNNNNNNNNNNNNNNNNNNNNNNNNNNNNNNNNNNNNNNNNNNNNNNNNNNNNNNNNNNNNNNNNNNNNNNNNNNNNNNNNNNNNNNNNNNNNNNNNNNNNNNNNNNNNNNNNNNNNNNNNNNNNNNNNNNNNNNNNNNNNNNNNNNNNNNNNNNNNNNNNNNNNNNNNNNNNNNNNNNNNNNNNNNNNNNNNNNNNNNNNNNNNNNNNNNNNNNNNNNNNNNNNNNNNNNNNNNNNNNNNNNNNNNNNNNNNNNNNNNNNNNNNNNNNNNNNNNNNNNNNNNNNNNNNUAUAUAUAUAUAUAUAUAUAUAUAAUAUAUAUAUGUGUGUGUGUGUAUAUAUAUAUAUAUAUAUGUAUAUAUAUAGAGAGAGAGAAGGUUGCCUUGAUAAUACAAUCAUUCUAAAAAUAAAAAUAUUAGCACAAUAUAAUUUUUCAUCUAAAUAUUUCUAAUUAAUUCACUUGGAAAUUUAUGGGGAUUUACUUGUAGAUAUUUCCUU
rnacentral:lncRNA from 1 species